AAUGAGUAUCUGAGUCAUGUCAAGUACAAGAUCUAAGGCAUGACAUUUCCACAAUAGUUAACCUUCUCAUCAUCUGCACUACAUGCAUAGUAUCCAUGAAAUUAUUUAAAUCUCAUCAGACAUAUUUUCAGACGUUGUAUACCCCAGGGCAGGUAUUACCACACUGAUAACAUGGAUUUAAUCUUGCUCAUUAUGUGGAAAGCACACAGAAAGUUUCAAUGCUUGGGCUGGAGAUAUAGCUCAGUUGGUAGAGUGCUUGCCUCGCCUGAACAAGGCCCUGGGUCCAAUCCACAGCACCACCAGAAAAAAAAGUCUCAAUGCUUUUAAGAUAAUGGAUUCUCAGAAUUGGGACAUGCCAUUUGGGAAAACCAAACUCUCUUAGUGCUGGGUCACUUCUCAGUCCCAGUCUCAAAGCUGAUUAGAAAUCAGGCAAUCCUUUAGGUAUACUUGAUGCCAUUUUAAUUAUGUUGUUGUCUCAUAAUUUAUAUUAGAUAAAUUAUUAUUGCCAUUGACUAAAUUGAGGAUGACUUCUUACCUGGAAGCCUGCAGUCUCUCAGUGGAAGUCAGAUUAGUGGUGUCAGCCUGAGAGUCUGGCCAAUGUCAGUCCACAGACAUCCCCAGACACUUCCAUACUGUGUCCCAAGGUAAAGGAUAUUAGUAAACAGCCUUUGCCUCUGAGGAGUUCUAGUUGAGCAGGAGCAAGAUCUGGGACAUAAUCUGACCACAGUAUGAGAAGACUGCAAGGAAGUGAAAAUGCUGAGUGUUGUGCUCUGGAAGCAAAGUCCUGAACAGUUUCUUUUGCAGGAGCUAGGCAGUGGAAACCUGUGAUGUGGGUCUGAGCGAGGAUGUGGUACUAAGGUCACAGGACAUCAUCUAAGCACAUCACAGUCCUAAAGAGAGAGAUGUUUUUCAGAAUAAUUAUACUUAUUAAAUAGCAUGGUGUGGUGGUGAUGAGGGAGUAUAUCAUUCACAGGAGAAUCAAACAAAUGCAAUAAAACUGCAAGGGAACUUGCCAGUGUGUGGAGGUCCUUAUGUGCCAUAGUGAGGCAAUUAGUUCCUUCCAUGAUUUGCAGUUGUUGGAAAUUGUAAGCAGCACAAUCAAUGCAAAUGACACUUUAGAGAAACUUCCCUGAUGUCAGUUUCAGAAAAGUUUCUGAAAACAUAGGGUCAACACUUUAGCUUUUAGGCAGAGCAACAAAUUUCUCAAUAAGAUCCCUAAAGCUCAGAAAAUAAUGCCAAGAGUCAAUAAGUAGGAUUAGAAAAUGCUCUAAAAAAUUAAUUGUAGGGUUGAGAUUGUGGCUCAGUGGUAGAGCACUCGCCUAGCACUGGCGGGACCCGGGUUUGAUCCUCAGCACCACAUAAAAAUAAAGGCAUUGUGUUAAAAAAAUGUUAAAAAAAUUAAUUGUAUCUUCUAGAGUUGAAGAGUAAUUUGGGGGUUACAAGUAAGAUGUUACAUGCACCUGAAAAAUGUGAAUGUUGGAGAACUUCCUAAAGACAAUUUCUUUAAUCAGGAAUAUUGAACAAGAACUUAAAG
rnacentral:lncRNA from 1 species